AGGAGGAAGCAGCGGAAGCCACUGUCCCGCAGUCUCGGGGCCGCUUCCGGCCCCAGUGGGGCUGCGAACCCCGGAAACCCCCGCGCUGCCCGCCCCGCUCCCGGCGGCUGCGGGGGGACGCGGAGGGGAGACGGAGCCCCGGAUCAGCCCGACCUCGACCUCGCCCCGAGGGUCGCGGCUGCCUGCGCCCGCGCUGCGCCCCCUCUCGGGGAGGUUGCUGCCAUCCUCGCCCAUUUCUCCGAGGGAAGCGCUCGGGGCAGGGUAGGGAAAUCCUGCCUGGGGCUUCACGGUGGUAAAGCGGCAAAGGCUGGAUCUAAAGUCGGACAGUAAAGCCCCAAAGCCAGUGAUCUUCACGUAAUCGCCAAGGAGGCAAAGGUAGGACCGUCGCUCCAGCCACCAAGUCGAGCAGCACGAGGCUUAACCGCGAGGGUGCAGAGUCCGGAAACCUCACUGCCGUCCCGGCUCCGAGCUGCCUUUAAAACACCGCCACCUACAGUACCCGGGAUCGAACUCAGGACCUUGAGCUUGCGAGGCAGGCGCAGUGCCACUGAGCUACAUCCCCGGCCCGUGUCGUUCCAUUUAUUGCCAGGAGCACGGAACUGGACUGAAGUACAAGAUUCCUCGUCUAGAGGAGGAGACACAUUUCACACAGAAAUCACUGAGGCCGUCUCCAAAGAACCCCGGAGGGGAGAAGACACUUCUGCCCAGCGGCGUCCCACUGGCCUACAGGUACCACUGUCCCUGAGCAGGUCCAGAGGGAAGGGAGGAGCCCAGAGCCGCCUCGCGCUGCUUGCUCACUUUUUUCUGCGCUGCUUCAAGCUGCCUUCCAAGCCUCACGGCUCUACGCAGACCCGGGGCUCCUGGCAGCUGAUGACCAUCACAUUCUGCCUCUCCUCCUCGGGAUUCCUGAGCGUCUUCCUGCUCUCAUUCCAGGCUUCAUCCCUGCCCUGAAAGCAGCAGCUCCUCUUCUCCCUUGAGUCCAACUUCUCCGCCUGUGUCCUACGUGCUGCAUCAGCCCGGGGAUCCCGAGACUUAGUUUCCCCUAUUGUCCCACCUCUCUUGAGACAUCAGUGUUUUUGCAUUCUCUCUCUGCCAGUGGACAUAAGUGUUUGGAACUGAACACGCAACAUUUUCCCACCUCCCUGCCACCAUCCUUCUCUCUCUUUUCCUCCACUGUCGCACUGUGCUCCGGAGAGGCAGCGGUGCCUUUCUGGUGUGUCCUCUGCUCCCAGGCUCUCCAGGACCGUUUGUCUAAUGCCACCAAGGUGACCACUCUUCAGGCAUUUUCUACCUGCCAGUUCAGCAUCCUCUGAGACAUGAGUUCAUUCCUUCAUCAUACAGCCACGUGAAUGAUGAUCAUUUUCGUUUUACAGCUAGGAAGACGGAGCCUGGGAGGGUGCAGUAAACCACUCAGUCACCCUAGUGACCUAAAACCUUCUGGCCACUACUCUGCAGCCUCUCAUCUGUCCUACUGUUCCCUAUAUCCCUGGUUUAAGGGAGGCACUAGAUAAACAUGUGUUGAUUGAAUGAGUGCUCGAACACUUUAAUGACUCUUUGCCAG
rnacentral:lncRNA from 1 species